rnacentral:hammerhead_ribozyme from 1 species
GUACUGAUGACGAGUCCCAAACCAGGACGAAAAAUCUUUCCAGUAC